rnacentral:rRNA from 1 species
GGGGAAUAUUGCGCAAUGGGGGAAACCCUGACGCAGCAACGCCGCGUGAAGGAAGAAGGCCUUCGGGUUGUAAACUUCUUUGAUUGGGGACGAAGAAAGUGACUGUACCCAAAAAACAAGCCACGGCUAACUACGUGCCAGCAGCCGCGGUAAUACGUAGGUGGCAAGCGUUGUCCGGAAUUACUGGGUGUAAAGGGCGUGUAGGCGGGUGACCAAGUCAGAUGUGAAAUUCCGGGGCUUAACUCCGGCGCUGCAUCUGAAACUGGACAUCUUGAGUGCUGGAGAGGAAAGCGGAAUUCCUAGUGUAGCGGUGAAAUGCGUAGAUAUUAGGAGGAACACCAGUGGCGAAGGCGGCUUUCUGGACAGUAACUGACGCUGAGGCGCGAAAGCGUGGGGAGCAAAC